AGCAGCCGCGGUAAUUCCAGCUCCAAUAGCGUAUAUUAAAGUUGUUGCAGUUAAAAAGCUCGUAGUUGAAUUUCGGGAUCAAAUUGUCGGUCGUGCCUCGGUACGCACUGGCGUUAUUGGUUCCUCCCUUCUGAAGAACCGCGAUGUCAUUAAUUUGGUGUCGCGGGGAAUCAGGACUGUUACUUUGAAAAAAUUAGAGUGUUUAAAGCAGGCUCGCGCUUGAAUACAUUAGCAUGGAAUAAUGAAAUAGGACGUUUGAUUCUAUUUUGUUGGUUUCUAGGAUCGACGUAAUGAUUAAUAGGGAUAGUUGGG
rnacentral:rRNA from 1 species